UCACCUACAGAAGCACGGACCCAUCAUGUGCUCCAUCUUCUAGUGGACAACAGAGAAUGACUGGGACCAUUCAAGACAUAGAGUGCUUUUUGCCAGUAAUUCUUCCAUGCUGUGACUGCUCCACUGGGCAGACAACUGUUUCUUCAGGAAAGGAAGUUAUUCUGAUUGGAAUAAAUGGGCGAUACAAUCUGUCUCUUCCAACUGUCUCCUGCUCCUGUGGACAGACUUGGAAUGUAAGUAUUAGUGAUCUGGUUGAAAGUGGCUAUUGGCCAGCCACAGUCCAUUUUGAGACUUUGUACACAGUGGAUCUGUUUACUACAUAUGAAGAUCUCAAGAUUACUGCACCAGGAAUGUCACGGCAAGCUUUUGUUAGCAUGCUUGAACAGCGCACCAAACUCUUUGGUCGGAGUGGUAAGAUAUGUGGAGACA